UUCCCAGUCACGAUAUUGAAAGGAAAGCAACAGCGACUCCGCAAGUAGCGCCGAGCGAACGCGGACCAAAGCGGCUACAUGAUGAACUGCCUGGAAAGGCAGACCAGAGAAGGUGAUAGUCCUGUAUUCAUGAACCCGCCCAAUGGCCUAGAGUAAGGUGAGACUCGUGAAAUCUCGCCUGAACAUGGGGGGACCACCCUCCAAGCCUGAGUACUCCUCGACGACCGAUAGUGAACCAGUAAGGCGACUGAACGGUGAAAAGUACCCCGAUAAGGGGCGUGAAAAGUACCUGAAACCGUGUGCUUACACAGCGGUCACGGCCCGCAAGGGUUGUGGCGUGCCUUUUGCAUAAUGAGCUGGCGAGUUACUCUAUGCGGCAAGGCGAAGCGGCAACACCGCGAAGCCGAAGGGAAACCGAGUCUGACAAGGGCGUCAAGUCGCAUGGGGUAGGCGCGAAACCGGUUGAUCUACCCAUGGGCAGGUUGAAGGAGGGGUAAUACCCUCUGGAGGACCGAAGCCGUGAACGUUGAAAAGUUCUGGCAUGACCUGUGGGGAGGGCUUAAAGUGCAAUCAUAACCGGAGAUAUCUCGUUCUCCUCGAAAUAGUUUUGGGACUAGCCUCGGUGAGCAACACAUGGAGGUAGAGCUACUGAAUGGAUUUUGAGGGCCUACCCGGCUACUCGGUCCAAUCAAACUCCGAAUGCCAUGUGCCAAGUCCCGGGAGUAAGUCUGCGGGCGAUAAUGUCCGCGGUCAAAAGGGAAACAACCCAGACCAUCGGUUAAGGUCCCCAAACAAGCCUCAGUUCAUAAGGUAGUCGAAUUGCAAUGACAGCCAGGAUGUUGGCUUAGAAGCAGCCACCAUUUAAAAAAUGCGUAACAGCUUACUGGUCGAGGAAUUUGGCGCCGAUAAUUAUUGGGAAUAAGGCUUGUACCGAAACCGUGGACCGUCUUUGACGGUGGUAGAGGAGCGUCGCUAUCAGCAUUGAAGCUUUCCCGCGAGGGUUGGUGGAGCGAUAGCAAGUGAAUAUGCCAGCUUGAGUAACGAUAAAGGGAGUGAGAAUCUCCCUCGCCGAAAACCUAAGGUUUCCUGGGCAAGGUAAAUCCGCCCAGGGUUAGGCGGAUCCUAAGGCAAGGCCGAAAGGCGUAGUCGAUGGACAGACGGUCAAUAUUCCGUCCCCGUUGUAUGAGGUCCGAUGCGUGCGUGACGAAUUCCAAAGUUCCACGGGACUGUAAAGAGUCCAGGCCGUAUGGCCGAUGUGGGGUGGCGGAGUUUCAAGAAAAACCGCAACGCUACGAAUGCAACGUCCGUACCAAAACUGACACAGGUGGGUGUGGCGAAUAGCCUCAGGCGCUCGAGAAAACGGUCGUGAAGGAACUAGGCAAUUUAACCCCGUAAGUUCGCGAUAAGGGGGCCCUACUCGCAAGAGAGGGCGCAGAGAAAAGGCUCUGGGAACUGUUUAUCAAAAACACAGCACUGUGCGAACUCGCAAGAGGACGUAUACAGUGUGACGCCUGCCCGGUGCUGGAAUGUCAAGGAAGCCGGUUAGCGAAAGCGAAGCUGGCGACCGAAGCACCAGUAAACGGCGGCCGUAACUAUGACGGUCCUAAGGUAGCGAAAUUCCUUGUCGGGUAAGUUCCGACGCGCAUCAAUGGCGUAAUCACUGGAGCCCUGUCUCCACGACCGACUCGGUGAAAUAGUAGUGGCGGUGAAGAUGCCGCCUACCCGUGGCAAGACGGAAAGACCCCGUGGACCUUUACUGUACGCUUGCAGCGAUCAUGGAUUUGAACUGCGUAGGAUAGGUGGGAGACUUUGAAGUUCCGCUCUCGGGCGGGACGGAGUCAUUGGUGAAAUACCACCCUGUUUGAAUUCGUGGUCUAACCCUGAAUCCCAUGAAACUGGGCAGGGGACACUGCAUGCCGGGCAGUUUGACUGGGGCGGUCUCCUCCAAAAUAGUAACGGAGGAGUGCAAAGGUUGGCUCAGUGCGGUUGGCAACCGCACCAAGAGUGCAAAGGCAUAAGCCAGCUUUAGUGCAAGCCAUACAGGGCAAGCACUCACGAAAGUGGGCCUUAGUGAUCCGGCGUUCCCGUGUGGAAGGGGCGUCUAUCGUGACUGGGAAAC
rnacentral:rRNA from 1 species